GGGACAGAACACGCAGCCUGACUGGAACCUAUGACUACAUGGCUCCCGAAGUCCUCUCCAGGCUGCCGUAUUCAAGAUCUGCAGAUUGGUGGUCUCUGGGCAUCGUGAUCUUCGAGAUGCUAGUCGGGGACCUACCAUGGAUGAGACCAUCUAUUGGCGUCGUCUGCCCAAAGUUCCUGGCUGAGGAUGCAGCUAUUUUAAUAUCAGGGCUUUUACAGUUGGACCCAUGGAUGCGGCUGGGCUCCAGC